UACCUAUGAUGAUCAAACAUGCUAUUUGAUCUUUGUUUAGUUACUAGUUUGUGGUUGUCCAAAAAAAAUGAUGGUUUUACUGGGUUUAGUUGUGGUUAUGAAGGUUUUAUUUUUCUUCGUAGAUGUCAAGUCACAUCACGCUAGUGUAUCACCACGGGGGGAGGUUGGAGAGAAAUUCAAAAGGGGUUACAGUAUACAACUGUGGUCAAGUAUCAUUAAUACUUAGAGUCAAUGUGGAUACGCUGAACCUGUUUUUCAUGGAGGGAUUGUUCAAGGAUUUGGGAUAUAUUCACUGGAAGGAUUUUUACUGGAAAAAACCUGAUGCCGGAGGUGGUGUUGCUCUUAAGCUACUUAGGCUUGAUAGAGAUGUGGUGAACAUGUAUGAGGAUGCAAUUACAAAUGAUGAUAGGGUGGUACAUGUGUAUUGAGAGCAUACGGUAGACAUUCCAACUGAGGUUGAGGUGGUUGACGUAGAUGCAGAAGAGGUCCCUAGCCCUAAAACAGAACCAUCCAAUGUAAAUGCAGAUAGUGUGAAAUCACCUGGUGGAAGGAUAAAGAAGAUGGCACAAAGGACUCAAAAACCAGCCAGAAUUCCGAGGCCAAGAAAACUAACAACACUAGGCUAGAAGUCAUCCCAGAGUUCAUUACCUUCAAUGAAGAGAACCAACCCAAGGAAAAGACAAUAAAAAAUCACACAAUCUGAACCAGCAAAACAAUCUCACCCACAGUCCAAGUCCAAAAAAAUCUCACUCACAGCCCAAGUUAAUCCAACACAUGUGGCCCAAACCCAACACACACCACAUGUGGCCCAACCUAACAUACAACUCCUGUGGCCCAAACCCAAACCACUCAAACUGCACCACCAACACAUUCUGAACCUGGAACUCAAUCACAACCUAACCUUGAACAAGAUGAGGUCCCUACCCAAGAAUCAAGAACAAAACAAAAGAACAGAAGAAAUUCUUACAAGAGGCUAGCUCCUAGUGGACAGACCUUUGUGCAAGGAGGCAUAGGUGAAGCUCCAAAAAUAUUUGUCCCUCGUGCAACCAGUGAGUCAUCAGAGAGUGAUGAUGAUGACGACUCUGACCCAGAUUACCAUCAGUAUGAGUCUGAGGAGCUGCACAGCCCUUAUUCAGUAGACUGUGAUAGUGACUAUGAGGCAGAGCGUACUGUUUGGUCUCAAGGGAACCCGAAUGCUGCUUUUGGCUCAGUACAUUUAGAGCUGGGGAUGGAAUUCAAAACUAUGGACUAAUUUAAAAGAGCUGUUAGGAAGUUCAAUAUACAAAUUGAAAGGAGUAUCAUGUUUAGCCGAUUGGAACCUUUGAAGUGUAAGGCAAUUUGUUGUGAGGCCAACUGUCCUUGGACUAUCUACUGUUCAAGGUCUAAUGAACCAAAGAGUUUUUAAGUAAAGACGUUUGUUAACCAACAUGUUUGUGCACGAAGCCACACCAACAAAUCAGCUGAUAGAAAGUGGGUUAUUGAACAGCUGGAGGAGAAGUUGAGGGACCAAAGGGACUUUAAAACCUCUGAAGCUGAGGCAUGGUUUAGGAGAGAGUUCAAUGUAACCAUCAACUACAAGAAAAUACAGAGGGCAAUGAAGAAGGCAAGGGAGAAUAUUGAGGGCUCAGAGAGGAAGUAGUAUGCUGAGUUGAGGGAUUACAUUCUUGCCCUGUUGACAGCUAACCCAGGAGCAACUAUUGAUAUGGACACUACCCCUAUGCCUAAUUCCCUCCCGAUCUUCAAGAGACUCUACAUAUGUUUUAACGCUUGCAAAAAAGGUUUCAUACAAGGUUGCAGUCCAUUUAUUGGACUUGAUGGUACAUUCCUAAAAGGUUAUUACGGUGGACAAUUGCUUACAAUAGUGGAACAAGAUGCUAACAAUCAGAUCUUUCCCAUUGCAUAUGUAGUCAUUGACUCAGAGACAAGAGAUAACUGAAGAUGAUUUCUAGAACUCCUGCAUCGUGAUUUGGGAAACUAUAGGGUGCAUGGUUGGAACUUCAUGAGUGAUCAACAGAAGGGUCUCAUACCAGCCAUGGAGCAGGUAAUGCCCGGAGUGCAUCAUCAUUUUUGUGCAAUGCACAUUUGGAGCAACUUCACUAAAAGGUGGAAGGAUAAACAGUUGAAAGGAGCAGUGUGGGCAUGUUGUUGAGCUACCACUGUUAGUGAGUUUGAGGCUGCAAUGAUGAGGUUAAAGGGAAUCAACAAUGCUGUCUGGGAAUACUUAGAUCGACUUGACCCAAAAACUUGGACAAAGGCACAUUUCAAUGAGUGGCCGAAGGUGGACAAUGUCACUAACAACAACUGUGAGACUUUCAAUGGUAAGAUUCUCAAGUACAGAGGCAAGCCAAUCAUCACAAUGUUAGAGGAAGUCAUAGUUCAUAUCAUGAGGGUUAUGGCAAUGAACAAAAAGUUUCUAAGUGGCUAUGUUGGUUCUGUUGCACCAAGACAACUAAGUAGGCUUGAGAGAGAGAAGGAAGAAAGUAACAAAUAGACUCCCACAUGGGCAGGGGAUGACAAUGAAGAAAUAUAUGAGGUUGAGAAGCAUCCUACUAAGGUUACUGUUGACUUGGGAAAUCAGAAGUGCACCUGUCGAUUUUGGCAGCUCACAGGCUUGCCUUGCAGACACGCUUGUGCAGCACUUGCUCUGAGGGGUCGGAGGCCAGAAGACCAGAUUCAUAACUGGUUGGGAAUGACUGCAUAUAACUCAGCAUAUCAACAUAACAUCAACCCUGUACCAAGUAAAGAAUUUUGGGAUAAAGCUGAAGGCUAUCCUCCACUAGCCCCUCAUUAUAAGACACCCAUUGACAGACCAACAAAAAGAGAAGAAAGUAGAGAAAUGAGGCAAGACCAAAUUCCAACCCACAUAAGCUUAAAAGGAGAUAUGGAACAAUCAUUUACAAAUACUGUGAAGAGAGUGGCCACAAUAGUAGGAGUUGUGAAAAAAAGCAGGCUGAUAUGGCUGAUGAGGUAGCAGCUAUGGAGGCAGAGGAAGCUGCUGUUGCAACAAACCCUGCACAGCCACCACCACCCCAACAACAGAACCCUAAUGAUGAUGCUACUGCUCCAAGACUCAAGUCUAACGCUAUAGUCUCCACUAAAACCAUGAAUGCUGCAAGCCCAACAAUGAGGCAGAGGUUUGAACAGUUUAUGCCAACUCCAAGUCUGAGACAACAACCAAAUCCGGACCCAAGACCAUCAAAAGUGGUCCCAAGAGGAGUUUAUGGGAUAACCAAUGGCCCAGCUGCAGCAACUGAUCAAGUUGGCCCAAGUGAAGGUGGACCAUGCAAGGGGCUACAACAUAGACAUAGAACCUUUACUAAAGACUGAUGUGUAUGUUUUGUUUUUUGUGGACAUGGCUGUUUUCUUUAUCAUCAUAAACCUUGGGACCUUUUUAUGUAAUCUAGUAGUAUGUGAUAUAUUAUCUUAUAUACAUUGUGACUUUGCUUCUUAAUUAUGUAUUUCUGCCUUGUUUGAAAACUCAAUGAUUAUGGUCGCUACUCUGCCUAUUUUGUGUUUACAAUGAAGCAGAGACUUGUGGUUGAAAAGAUGUUGUUGGAUAUUGUAUGAAAUAGCUUGGUUAUGAAUUGCUUGUUUUGUACCUAAUCUUGUCACAUGUUUAUAUUUUUUUCUGAUGUCAAUGGUUGAUGUUACACCACUUACAAUAUAUGAUUCACAAAAAAAUGAGAUCUUUUUUUCUUCCAUUUAUUCAAUACAACUUUGAAAGUUAUUAGACACGAUCCUCACUUCUGAGAAUAUAUCAUCAAAAUCAAUAAUGCCCAAAAACUCAACCUUAAACAAACACCCAUAACUAUAUUCUUAAUACAAGUUAUUUCACCCCUAAUUAUAUCAACUGUCUUAUGUAACUCUUGCACAUCUUCUUCCAACUUGCUGGCACACUCUGUAAGUUUAUUCAUCUUCUUGUAUGAUUGUUUCAAUGGCCUUUUUUCAGAUACAACCUCUACCCCAAUGUUUCUUGUUUUUUCUUCCACUUCGUCCAGCCAAACAAAAUACUCACAACGAUGUUCAGCACUCUAAAGAUUAGACACAACAAUCCAAGGAGGGGUGAAGAAGGAAACAAACGGCUCAGUAACAAUAAGAAAUGCAAUUUCGAAACCUACCUCCCACAGAGGACAUCGCAGAAACAAUCUAUCUAGAUUCCACUCUGUUCCAGACUUGAGUACCACAGCUUCAAAUCCGUGCAAACACUUGCCGUUGUUGUACUCAAACUUCUUCUUCUUCUUCUUGUUCCUCAACAACGAAGACCCGCCACCAACAGCGCUGCCACAAUUUAGGGAUAUGGAGCUCGAUUUUUCCUUGAGUGAAGCCAUGUUCUUAGUUAUUGGUUAAGGUGUUAGGGUUUCAACACUGAGCAUCUUCCUUAUGAAGAUAAAAGAGAACGAAGGUUUACUGGAAUUAUUCAUUAAAAUAAAAUAUUUUUUUUGAGUUGGCACUAAAUGGCCAGCUCACUGAAUCUGAACGUGCCAGCAAGGACAAAAUAGAGCUAGGUGUCCACUCAAACUAACCACGCCACACGCUGAUGGCCGAAAUGGUGAUUGUGUCCGCCGGAGUGUAUAAUUACUGUGCAUGCGUGACUCAUAAAAUGAUUCAAGUGUAUUAUUGUCCAGCGUAUGAACUUUCAGGUGUAAUUUUGUCCCUUC